rnacentral:lncRNA from 1 species
CUAAUUUAAAAUAGCACUUGACCUGACCAUGUAGGUUAGGUUGAUGGGGAAUGAGGCUAAACACUUUUUGCACGUUAGGAUGAGACUUCACAGAUUAUUCAAACAGAAGUUGGUAUUUUGAGUAUAGAUCUGUCUUAUUAGCCAGACUAAUCAAAUUUAAUUAGGUUGAUUUUUGGCAAGUUAAUAAUUGUAUAAUUUCAUUAUGUUGUCUGGUGAGUUGUGCUAGUUGUUAACGUGCUUUGGAGGCCAGACUCA